GCCCUUGUGGCUCAGGGAUUAGAGCGUCGGUCUUGUAAACCGAAGGUCCAUGGUUUGAAUCCAUGCUGGGGCA